CAGUCGCCGCGGGGAAUACGUAGGUGGCAAGCGUUGUCCGGAAUUAUUGGGCGUAAAGGGCUCGCAGGCGGUUUCUUAAGUCUGAUGUGAAAGCCCCCGGCUCGACCGGGGAGGGUCAUUGGAAACUGGGAAACUUGAGUGCAGAAGAGGAGGGUGGAAUUCCACGUGUAGCGGUGAAAUGCGUAGAGAUGUGGAGGAACACCAGUGGCGAAGGCGACUCUCUGGUCUGUAACUGACGCUGAGGAGCGAAAGCGUGGGGAGCGAACAGGAUUAGAUACCCGCGUAGUCCCUGUCUCUUAUA
rnacentral:rRNA from 1 species